GCACUGCUGAGGAGUCCCACAACAAUAGGACGAAACGGCCUUCUAGUGC
rnacentral:hammerhead_ribozyme from 1 species